ACGGGUGAGUAACACAUCGGAACGUGCCCUAUCGUGGGGGAUAACGAAUCGAAAGAUUCGCUAAUACCGCAUACGACCUGAGGGUGAAAGCGGGGGAUCGCAAGACCUCGCGCGAUUGGAGCGACCGAUGUCGGAUUAGCUAGUUGGUGAGGUAAAGGCUCACCAAGGCGACGAUCCGUAGCUGGUCUGAGAGGACGACCAGCCACACUGGGACUGAGACACGGCCCAGACUCCUACGGGAGGCAGCAGUGGGGAAUUUUGGACAAUGGGGGCAACCCUGAUCCAGCCAUUCCGCGUGAGUGAAGAAGGCCUUCGGGUUGUAAAGCUCUUUCGGCAGGAACGAAACGGUGGAGGCUAAUACCUUUCAUCAAUGACGGUACCUGAAGAAGAAGCACCGGCUAACUACGUGCCAGCAGCCGCGGUAAUACGUAGGGUGCGAGCGUUAAUCGGAAUUACUGGGCGUAAAGCGUGCGCAGGCGGCUUUGUAAGACAGGUGUGAAAUCCCCGGGCUUAACCUGGGAACUGCGCUUGUGACUGCAAGGCUUGAGUGUGGCAGAGGGGGGUGGAAUUCCACGUGUAGCAGUGAA
rnacentral:rRNA from 1 species